rnacentral:rRNA from 1 species
UACGUAGGGUGCAAGCGUUGUCCGGAAUUAUUGGGCGUAAAGAGCUCGUAGGCGGUUUGUCGCGUCGGCUGUGAAAACCCGAGGCUCAACCUCGGGCCUGCAGUCGAUACGGGCAAACUAGAGUGUGGUAGGGGAGACUGGAAUUCCUGGUGUAGCGGUGAAAUGCGCAGAUAUCAGGAGGAACACCGGCGGCGAAGGCGGGUCUCUGGGCCAUAACUGACGCUGAGGAGCGAAAGCGUGGGGAGCAAACAGG